rnacentral:rRNA from 1 species
UUGCACGCUGGCGGCAGGCCUCACCCCUGCAGGUCGAGCGGAUGAAGGGAGCUUGCUCCUGGAUUCAGCGGCGGACGGGUGAGUAAUGCCUAGGAAUCUGCCUGGUAGUGGGGGAUAACGUCCGGAAACGGGCGCUAAUACCGCAUACGUCCUGAGGGAGAAAGUGGGGGAUCUUCGGACCUCACGCUAUCAGAUGAGCCUAGGUCGGAUUAGCUAGUUGGUGGGGUAAAGGCCUACCAAGGCGACGAUCCGUAACUGGUCUGAGAGGAUGAUCAGUCACACUGGAACUGAGACACGGUCCAGACUCCUACGGGAGGCAGCAGUGGGGAAUAUUGGACAAUGGGCGAAAGCCUGAUCCAGCCAUGCCGCGUGUGUGAAGAAGGUCUUCGGAUUGUAAAGCACUUUAAGUUGGGAGGAAGGGCAGUAAGUUAAUACCUUGCUGUUUUGACGUUACCAACAGAAUAAGCACCGGCUAACUUCGUG